AUGAAGAUGGCGACUUGCAUUCGUAAGGUGGCCUCGGGGGAGUUUGGAGUGUCCAGGGGAAGGAGAAGCGAAGAUAACGAUACCUGGUGGUGGAAUGAUGAUGUCCAGAAGGCGCUUAAAGAGAAGAAAGAUUGCUUCAGACGCCUAUACCUGGAUAGGAGUGCAGACAACAUAGAGAAGUACAAGAUGGUGAAGAAGGCCGCAAAGCGAGCUGUUGGUGAAGCAAGGGGUCGGGCAUAUGAGGACCUCUACCAACGGUUAGGCACGAAGGAAGGUGAAAGGGACAUCUAUAAGAUGGCUAAGAUCCGGGAGAGGAAGACGAGGGAUAUUGGCCAAGUCAAAUGCAUCAAGGACGGAGCAGGCCAACUCUUGGUGAAGGACGAAGAGAUUAAGCAUAGAUGGCGGGAGUACUUCGACAAGCUGUUCAAUGGGGAGAAUGAGAGUUCUACCAUUGAACUGAAUGACUCCUUUGAUGAGACCAGCAUGCGUUUUGUGCGGCGCAUCCAGGAGUCUAAGGUGAAGGAGGCUUUAAAAAGGAUGAAAGGAGGCAAGGCGAUGGGCCCUGAUUGUAUCCCCAUUGAGGUGUGGAAAGGUCUCGGGGACGUAGCGAUAGUAUGGCUAACCAAGCUUUUCAACCUCAUUUUUCGGGCAAACAAGAUGCCAGAAGAAUGGAGACGGAGUAUAUUAGUACCAAUCUUCAAGAACAAGGGGGAUGUUCAGAGUUGUACUAAUUACCGUGGAAUUAAGCUGAUGAGCCAUACAAUGAAGCUAUGGGAGAGAGUCAUUGAGCACCGCUUAAGAAGAAUGACAAGCGUGACCAAAAAUCAGUUUGGUUUCAUGCCUGGGAGGUCGACCAUGGAAGCCAUUUUCUUGGUACGACAACUUAUGAAGAGAUAUAGGGAGCAUAAGAAGGACUUGCAUAUGGUGUUCAUUGACUUGGAGAAGGCCUAUGAUAAGAUACCGCGGAAUGUCAUGUGGUGGGCCUUAGAGAAACACAAAGUCCCAGCAAAGUACAUUACCCUCAUCAAGGACAUGUACAAUAAUGUUGUGACAAGUGUUCGAACAAGUGAUGUCGACACCGAUGACUUCCCGAUUAAGAUAGGACUGCAUCAGGGGUCAGCUUUGAGCCCUUAUCUUUUUGCAUUGGUGAUGGAUGAGGUCACAAGGGGUAUACAAGGAGAUAUCCCAUGGUGUAUGCUCUUUGCGGAUGAUGUGGUGCUAGUUGACGAUAGUCGGAUGGGGGUAAAUAGGAAGUUAGAGUUAUGGAGACAAACCUUGGAAUCGAAAGGGUUUAGGCUUAGUAGAACUAAAACUGAGUACAUGAUGUGCGGUUUCAGUACUACUAGCUGUGAGGAGGAGGAGGUUAGCCUUGAUGGCCAGGUGGUACCUCGGAAGGACACCUUUCGGUAUUUGGGGUCAAUGUUGCAGGAGGAUGGGGGUAUUGAUGAAGAUGUGAACCAUCGAAUCAAAGCCGGAUGGAUGAAGUGGCGCCAAGCUUCUGGCAUUCUCUGUGACAAGAGAGUGCCACAAAAGCUAAAAGGCAAGUUCUACAGGACGGCGGUUCGACCCGCAAUGUUGUAUGGCGCGGAGUGUUGGCCGACUAAAAGGUGA
rnacentral:rRNA from 1 species